rnacentral:ribozyme from 1 species
GCUGCUGGUGGAAAGGUCGAGAACAACCGUGUUAACGGACAAUUGGCGAUGAGUCGUGCGAUCGGGGAUUACUCAUACAAGCAACAGCCCGAGCGCAAA